rnacentral:sRNA from 1 species
UUGCAGCCCGACUUGAGCGGAAAUCCUUUUUGUGGAGCAAAGCAGAACAAAAAGAUUGGGAGCGGAAGGCGGAAAUAGCU